rnacentral:rRNA from 1 species
UACGUAGGGCGCAAGCGUUGUCCGGAAUUAUUGGGCGUAAAGGGCUCGUAGGCGGCCAACUAAGUCCGACGUGAAAUCCCCAAGCUUAACUUGGGAACUGCGUCGGAUACUGGAUGGCUUGAAUUCGGGAGAGGGAUGCAGAAUUCCAGGUGUAGCGGUGAAAUGCGUAGAUAUCUGGAGGAAUACCGGUGGCGAAGGCGGCAUCCUGGACCGACAUUGACGCUGAGGAGCGAAAGCGAGGGGAGCAAACGGG